UCAACGAAACAAGUCGCCAUACAAUGAAACAUAACAUAAACUUGUGGUAAAUUCCAGAAUCACCGACCACCAACCAAUAGGAUGCACGUAUUUCAUUGUUACCUGUUGGACUAUGUUUAUGAUUACUCCAUAGUAAUCACUGACGCAGAACAAUUCUGCUCUAAAUUUACGACUACAGCUUUGUAUCUUAAAUUAAGAAGAAACACAAAAGUAUUUACUGACACCACGAGGCAGAGUCAAAGGAGAGCCUUAAAAGUACAAAAAUAAAAGUCUAGAACCUAUCGUGAGCACAGUAAAUCAUCAACAAGGGUUAAAGGCACACACUAUGUGCGGUAGACGUGGCAACGCAAGCUCUAUGACGUCAGCAGAGCAGUGCAAAGAUGGCUGCUCCCAUGGAAGCACGCACGAAAUAGGAGCAGCGUUGUGCUAUCAGUUUCUUGGUCAGCGAGGGUGUAAAACCAAUCGCCACAAGGAGUUCUGGUAUGGUAACGCAUACUUAUCGCUGCAGUACGCAUACAAAUGGAGUACCCGUGGAAAAAAAACGGAGUAAGUACAGUUGGGGUCGUGACCCAUUGGAUGCGCACGUUCCCCUCCACGUGAGCGAUACGGUGUUAUGAUUCAAUGUCACGUGUCUCGUUAUUUACGUCACAGCUCCGAUCACAGAUACGAGAGAUGUCUUACAAAGAAAUGUGGGGCAGUGCUGCUGCGAUUUCUAAUGAAUAAAGAAGUAGCUAACCAUGGGCGCGAUCAGAUAUCUGAAGUGACAAGUUACCGAGACAAAUGGAGGCAGAAUUUCUUACCACUUCUCCACUGAUAAAAUUUAUGAAGAAAGAAUUUAGUCUCAGACGAGAGAAAACUACUUCCCGUUCUUAAAGCCCUCACCGUCACGCCUGACUGGACAAGUGCUUCGUUCAUGUCAUGGGGUCUACGAGAGGGUCUGGCGGAGUCUGGGGGUCGGUUCUUUGUUGGUGCUUCCGGGAGAAAUCUGGCUUCAGCCCGGCCAUGAAGAUAUUUACGCAUUUAAUUCAGUUAAAAAUAUACUUUAUAAAUUGUUUAAUUUGUAUGCGAUUUGUGACGAUAAUGCUGAUAAUUUCUGUGACAUUUUAGGGGUCAUAGGCUGUUGGCACUACUUCAGCAACUUUACACUUUUAUAUCGGGAUACUGGGAUAAUGGGAACGACCCGUUCUUCAAGUGCCUGAGCACUGCGGGUCCCAACUUUUCAUUGGCUCGAUCUAUAGACAUUCGGUAGGACU